GGGAAAAUUGGGUGGGAAAACAAAAUUGGAAAAAAUUAGGGUUCUCUCCCCCAAAAUCAAAUCACCACCUUCUUGAUUCCUCAAUUGAGAAUCCUACGACUUCUUGUUUCCUCAACUCACCACCUCCAUUUCCCCUUUCUCCUGUAAGCUGCCGCACCACCACCUCCAUUUGCCCUCCCUUUCUUCCUUCGCCGCCACCUCGCUGCCUCUAGCGCCACCAACGAGGUCCUCUUCCAGCGACGAGCAACACGCACGCUUGCAACAGUGCCGCCGCCACACUCCUCGUCAGUUCCAGCGCCGUUGCGAGCCCUUUGUGCAGAGUUCUUAGAUAAUUUGGAGUUAGGAUAAAGGACCAAGCUUUAUUCCCUUCCAACGCCGCCUCAAGUGAGAACUUUGACCUUAGUGUGUUGUUAUCAUGAAGCGUUCCAAUUCACAAGGCGGGCAUAAGGGUAGCUGUUUUGUGGAUAUAUUGUGUUCGAAUGAGAAGCGAGAUAGAGUCCUAGUUGUUGCCAACGUAACUCAACUAUUGUGCUAGGUUGCACCUCACAUCAAAGCAAGGAAAAGUUCUUCAUCAUUGUCUAGGAUCCAUGCACAUCUCAUUGUCUGGCUUGUUGUAGGAUAAUAAGCUCAUGCUUUGUAUAUAGAGAUGAGAAUGUAUUUGAGUCAAUUAAGUUAAUCUGAUUUGACUGUAUAUGGAUGGGUAGUUCAGGUUAAAAACACGGGUAUAUCUAUGAACAAUUGGUCACCAUAUCAGAUAUAAAUCAAUUUGAAAGAUAACGAUGUUUUUAAUUUUGAUGUA